rnacentral:lncRNA from 1 species
CUUAUAUGAAAUUUUUCUUUUAACAGAUGGUGUCAUAAAUGGGAUCCAGGGUAGAGCUUUAACGACCCCCCAGCAGUGAUGAGUAAACAAGCAAGGUACCAGCAAUGACACACUUGUGUCCAUUGAUCUCUAAGAGCAGCUGGGGAUUGUGGGUAAAGAAAGCUUUUUAUGAUUUACUGAAGAUAAUCAAUGCCUUCACAAUCUGGAACCCAAAGAUUGGAUCUUCUAAGAACAUCAGAGAAAGAAUCUAGAACCUAAAGAUUGGAUCUUCUGAGAACACCAGAGAAAGACUGACCUUGCUCUCCACACUGCAAUAAAACUUUGUGAUCUUGAACCUUAGGUUCAUAAUCUCACAAAUGAGAAGGCUCCCUCCACACUCUUGGAACUGUACACCCACUGAAACCCUUAAGGUAAAGCUAACCAGGGAAAUUUCUCCCCAGAAGAAAAUGGCAUUCUUGAUGUAAACAGCUUUUCUCAAGAUCACAGAUCAAGACUUCUCUACUAUCAUUAAACUCUUAUCUUUGAGUAUUUUCCCUCGUUUAUGCCUCUAUGAACAAUAGAAAUGAAAAAGUGGUCUGUUGUGUGCACUAAUGGAGUAUACAUUUUAUCAUAAAUAAUUUUGCAGCCAGCCUUAAAUAUGGAGAACUUUAAACUUUGAUAGAUACAGAUGAAAGCCUAAUGUAGGUAAGAAAAUUAAUGGUACAUAUGUUGCCUCAUAAUCAGUCAGAAACACAACAUUAGUUCACUCCUCUUAACCCACAUCAUGCGUUAAAGAGAACAUUGAUACACAGCCUUCACUUUUCUAGAAGGGCAUCAUUUGCUAGGUCCUUUUUCCAUAGUUUGGAGUAAAAGAAGCAAUGAUUGGAAAUGUAUCCCUCAGGAUAGGCUCUAUAGCAGAACUUACUGCAAAGGCUAUAGUUAAACAACAGACUUAAAAUUCUCUUGUGAAUGUUUUGCUAAAUAAUAUAAUUGCUCUAGAUUACUUACUGGCUAAACAGAAGUAUCUGUGUGGCUGCUGGCACUUAUGUCCAACAGAGAAAUCAUCAGAUAUUAUAGAGAUUCAGUUGUAGGGGAUUAACAAAAAGACCACUUCUUUAAGCUAGUCAACUCUUUAUCUAGUUUAUUCUUUGAUGUAUUUAUUUGAGAUGGUUUGGUUUAUGGAGACCCUGGGUAAGGAGCAUGCUCUAACCUCUUGGUAUUAUCCUUCUGAAAGUCAUAAUAAUAGUCUCCCUGGUGUGCUGAUUCUUUUUUUAUUAUUAUUAUACUUUAAGUUUUAGGGUACAUGUGCACAACGUUCAGGUUAGUUACACAUGUAUACAUGUGCCAUGUUGGUGUGCUGCACCCAUCAACUCGUCAUUUAACAUUAGGUGUAUCUCCUAAAUGUUUGGAUGCAGACAUCUGUAGAAUGUUAAAUGGUCUUUCUUUAACUGGAAUGACAAGAGCUGAAAGAAAUGUGUGACAUGAGGACACCAUAACCUAUUAAUGAUGUGCUGAGACUGGAAACCCAAAAUGAUGGUAACUGAGAGUGGUGCUAAGACCCUAAAUUUUGGUCACACUCUCAUCUAAGUGAGAACAUGACCAAAAAGGGGAAAUUUUUAAAACAAAAUUAUGAGAGGCCAUUGUUUAGACUGAGCUCAUGCACUAAGCUCUGACAGACCAAACCACACUAAAAUGGAGUUGCUUGUGCUAAAUGUGACAUAAUCAAACUAAGACUUUAAGGAAAUACAUAGAUCCUAGAACAGACUAGGUUUUGUUUUUCUUCUGUAAUCAGGACAUUUCAGCAUAAAGAGAUACCCUCUAGUCAGUCCUUGUGACUGACUAGCAAAACCCACUGUUUUACUGUUUCCCAGGGGGUUUCAAGAUAAGGUAAGUACAUUUAAGAUUGUAAUAAUGACAUCAAUGUUUUAAGUUUUGGUCAAUCUUUCAAAAUUGAGAAAAUGGCCAACAGUGGGGAAUAAUUAAAUCUAGUUUAGCCUAAAGUUGCCUCCUUAAAUAAUUAAGUUCAGCCUAAAGGUUUUACUGUACAUCAUGAACUAUAACAAGUAGAGGUGUAAACCAACCCUUGUCCACGCCUGUGCCAGUCAUUGAGUUUUGGCCAAUAAAAUGUAGCCAACUCUUCAAAACAUGUUCAAAUAAGGCAAAUGCUGAGCUGAAAACAAUCCAGUUGUUUCUAUACCUCGCUUGUGUUUCCUGUAUGUCACGUUCCCUUUGCUGUCCAUAAAUCUUCCACCACAUGGCUGUGCCGGAGUCUCUCUGAAUUUGCUGUGAUUCUGGGGGCUGCCCGAUUCACAAAUUGUUCACUGCUCAAUUAAAC